GAUGAAGAACGUAGCGAAAUGCGAUGAGUAGUGUGAAUUGCAGAAUUCAGUGAAUCAUCGAAUCUUUGAACGCACAUUGCGCCCCUUGGUAUUCCAUGGGGCAUGCCUGUUCGAGCGUCAUUUGUACCUUCAAGCUUUGCUUGGUGUUGGGUGUUUGUCUCGCCUUUGCGUGUAGACUCGCCUUAAAAUAAUUGGCAGCCGGCGUAUUGAUUUCGGAGCGCAGUACAUCUCGCGCUUUGCACUCAUAACGACAGCGUCCAAAAGUACAUUUUACACUCUUGACCUCGGAUCAGGUAGGGAUACCCGCUGAACUUAAGCAUAUCAAUAAGCGGAGGA
rnacentral:misc_RNA from 1 species